UGGGGAAUAUUGGACAAUGGGGGCAACCCUGAUCCAGCAAUGCCGCGUGUGUGAAGAAGGUCUUCGGAUUGUAAAGCACUUUCGACGGGGACGAUGAUGACGGUACCCGUAGAAGAAGCCCCGGCUAACUUCGUGCCAGCAGCCGCGGUAAUACGAAGGGGGCUAGCGUUGCUCGGAAUGACUGGGCGUAAAGGGCGUGUAGGCGGUUUACACAGUCAGAUGUGAAAUCCCCGGGCUUAACCUGGGAGCUGCAUUUGAUACGUGUAGACUAGAGUGUGAGAGAGGGUUGUGGAAUUCCCAGUGUAGAGGUGAAAUUCGUAGAUAUUGGGAAGAACACCGGUGGCGAAGGCGGCAACCUGGCUCAUGACUGACGCUGAGGCGCGAAAGCGUGGGGAGCAAACAGGAUUAGAUACCCUGGUAGUCCACGCUGUAAACGAUGUGUGCUAGAUGUUGGGUAACUUUGUUAUUCAGUGUCGCAGUUAACGCGUUAAAGCACACCGCCUGGGGAGUACGGCCGCAAGGUUGAAAC
rnacentral:rRNA from 1 species